UACGAAGGGGGCUAGCGUUGCUCGGAAUCACUGGGCGUAAAGCGCACGUAGGCGGAUUGCUAAGUCAGGGGUGAAAUCCUGGAGCUCAACUCCAGAACUGCCUUUGAUACUGGCGACCUUGAGUCCGGGAGAGGUGAGUGGAACUGCGAGUGUAGAGGUGAAAUUCGUAGAUAUUCGCAAGAACACCAGUGGCGAAGGCGGCUCACUGGCCCGAUACUGACACUCAGGUGCGACAGCGUGGGGAGCAAACAGG
rnacentral:rRNA from 1 species